AUCAACAAGAUUGUAGCAGUGGCUCCACCCACAAACAAGAAAGAAACCCAAGCUUUUCUGGGAGCCAUUGGCUUCUGGAGGAUGCACAUCCCAGAGUACAGCCAGAUGGUGAGCCCUCUUUACUUUGUGACCUGUGAAAAGAAAAAUUUCCAAUGGGGUCCUGAACAACAACAAGCUUUCAGGCAGAUCAAGCAAGAGAUUGCACAUGCCGUGGCUCUUGGAGCAGUCAGGACAGGACCAGAGGUAAAGAAUGUGCUCUACUCUGCAGCUGGAGAUAAAGGUCCCUCCUGGAGCCUCUGGCCAAAGGUGCCUGGGGAGACGUGAGGGCGACCACUGGGUUUCUGGAGCCGAAGCCACAGAGGUUCUGAGGCCAAUUCCACCCCUGAGGAGAAGGAAAUCUUAGCAGCCUAUGAAGGCAUACGAGCAGCUGCAGAGCUUUCAGAUUCAGCAAUGUCCUCACUCCCAACAGACCAGGGUCCCUUUCCAGAGUAAUGGAGGAGCACCGUGAUUUUUUAAUCCAAAAUUCCCAGAUUGGAAUGAAAUGCUCUGGAAAGGCUCUGGAAAUCAUUUGGUGUUCACAAUCAUCAAUGAAGAUGUUCACCAGGAAUUGCUGAUCACUGGCCUCCAGCUGGAUGUUGCACUCCUGAUCACCACCCCGGCCAGCAGAUUUCAACCAGCCUGCUGUCUGCUCAUCCAGCCCAUACUUCAUGGGCUUCUCUGUGAGGGAGCCCUGUCUGUGUCCA